rnacentral:rRNA from 1 species
CAGCACCUCAAGUGGUCAGGAUGAUUAUUGGGCCUAAAGCAUCCGUAGCCGGCGCUGUAAGUUUUCGGUUAAAUCUGUACGCUCAACGUACAGGCUGCCGGGAAUACUGCAGCGCUAGGGAGUGGGAGAGGUAGACGGUACUCGGUAGGAAGGGGUAAAAUCCUUUGAUCUAUUGAUGGCCACCUGUGGCGAAGGCGGUCUACCAGAACACGUCCGACGGUGAGGGAUGAAAGCUGGGGGAGCAAACCGGAUUAGAGACCCGAGUAGUCC